UACGUAUGGAGCAAGCGUUAUCCGGAUUUACUGGGUGUAAAGGGUGCGUAGGUGGCAGUGUAAGUCAGAUGUGAAAGGCCGGGGCUCAACCCCGGAGCUGCAUUUGAAACUGCAUAGCUAGAGUACAGGAGAGGCAGGCGGAAUUCCUAGUGUAGCGGUGAAAUGCGUAGAUAUUAGGAGGAACACCAGUGGCGAAGGCGGCCUGCUGGACUGUUACUGACACUGAGGCACGAAAGCGUGGGGAGCAAACAGG
rnacentral:rRNA from 1 species